rnacentral:rRNA from 1 species
UACGUAGGGUGCGAGCGUUAAUCGGAAUUACUGGGCGUAAAGCGUGCGCAGGCGGUUUUGUAAGCCAGAUGGGAAAUCCCCGGGCUUAACCUGGGAAUGGCAUUUGGGACUGCAAGGCUAGAGUGUGGCAGAGGAGACUGGAAUUCCUGGUGUAGCAGUGAAAUGCGUAGAUAUCAGGAGGAAUACCGAUGGCGAAGGCAGGUCUCUGGGCUAACACUGACGCUCAUGCACGAAAGCGUGGGGAGCAAACAGG